UUUUCCCCGAUUUCGGCCAUAAAGAACUAGUAGAAAUACACUUGCUCUACAUCACUGCUAUCAAUUUGUGUGUGUAAACUGAUCCUUAAUGGGAGAGGUGGUGUGAAAGUUAGUGCAAUUGGGAGAUGGCUGGAGAGGUGAAAAGCAUUGCAUAUCUUCCCAAUGUGACUCACUGCUGCUGAUUCUAGCUCGAGGAGCUGUUCUGCUCUCCUCCUUCACUUUCCCAACUCAGCUAUGUGAUGUAUGCUAUUUUUGUUCAACAGGAAGCACCACUGCUAUGAAUCCACAUCUAGUUUUCAAUUUAACUGUGAUUUGUCCCAUCCUUUCUGUUUUAGAGAGAAUUUACUGUUCUUUCAACUUCUACCUUCUAUUUUUUAGUUCCUGCCUUAAUCACCACUCUAAGACAUCCAUAAGGAAAAGAUGUAUAAAAUAGCAUGCACACAGAGUCCAAUAUAUACUCAUUAAUUUUAUUGGUCUUUUGCAGGAAGAAGAUAACCUGCAGCUGCUACAUCUUUUUACAGAGAGACAAUCACAUAUGUUGAAGGAUUUUGGGGAGCAACUUGAAUCUAGCAUAUGCAGACUGAAAAAUGAUGUUGCUCUUAUAGUUAAAAAGAAGAGAGAAAGCAUGGCCUAAGUAAGUAAUUCUUGAGCAACAGUGACUUAAUCGGUACUUGGAAGAUCAAGCAGCUCAGCUUUCUUGUUAAUUACCCAGAUAAUUUGUACAGACUUAAAAUUACCACAUACUCUAAAAUUGAAGUGCUGUAGGUCAUAUACUGUACCAUACACUAAGCUGCACCAAAGCCGCUUGCUUGUCAUACUAAAUCUUUGAAACUCACUUACAAAAGUAUUUC